GCAAUGGGAAGGAGUAUUUUAACGAAAUCAUCAUCUGAGAGGAUGAGCUCAAACGUGUUUCAGCUUCUGGAUUGUCAUCUGUGAGGAGACUUAAGCCUCUGCCAAGUAUUUGCCCACACAGAGUCAUUGCUUUUAGGGGAAUAAAACAAGUGGAUGAGAGGUUUCCACCAGCCAGACACCUCUGUGGCAUAGUGGCAUCUAAGCAGGACUUCUUACUCCUGGUGUUAGGUUUGUGUCUGAAACAGUUGCUAGAAUAUUAAGUUUUGGAGUUUUCUGAAUGGUAUCUUUUGCUCUUGCAGGCUGGUUAAAACCCUGAAGUAGGCUUUUGAAGAAGUCUUUUUGACCUGGUGUAUGAAGGCCUGUAGUCCAAUAUCUGUCCCUCACCAUUGCUAGUGCCAGAUGUUUUAGAGGAAGGUACAAGUAACUGCAGCAGUCUGCUAUGACAUAACCUGUUUGCAGGAAAAGCAACCCCAUUGAUUAGUGGUUUGAUUAAUCCCCAAAGUAUAAGAUUUUAUAGCUCUGCAAAGCGCUUUUUUCUUUUGUUUCUUUUGCUGUCGUAAUUCCUAACCUUCUUGUUAUUCUUGUACAUGUUCAUUGCACUGGGGAAUUUGGUGACAUUUUCUCACACAGGGCGUGCACAAUGGAAACAAAAGUACCCAGAAAUUGUGACAGCUGCACAUCAACCAAAUACCCAUUCUACCCAGGAUUUGUCACAUGCUGUUUCAUUGGAUAAUUUCCACCAGUUCUAUAAUGAAGCUAUUCAAAAGAGGCUAAACAGGCAAAGUACUUAAACGACGAUGUUCCAAAUGGCAGUCACUUCAGAGGCAGGCACUGGUACAUGCCAUGUGCUUUUUGACACAUCUUCGUUCUUCAGUACUGAAGUGCAUUCAAGCUUCACAUUUAAACUGGAUUAACCAGUUUUCUGAAGUGAUCGGUGUCAACCUUUGGACAGCAACAUACUUGGAUGAAAAUGAAUGGCCAGUUCAGGGAAGCCAGUGGAAGUCUGGCCAUCAUUCUCCAUGGGAAAAAAUCACAGCCAGAAGUGGAAAAACACCUGCACUGAGCCCAGCCAUUGACAGUUGCCAGUCUGAAGGAUUCCAGUCAAAAACGAAAAGCCGCAGCCAACAUCCUGUACUUUUUGGUCAGACUUUUCAUGUGAACUGCAUUGGGUCUACUGAUUUAACACAGAAGGAUCUGUAUUCUACCAGAUAGUCACUGAGCAACCGUCACGUGCAAAACAUAGAAGCAAAAGUGGGUCUCACUGGCCUCCAUUUCGCUAGGAAGGGGUCUACACUUCACUGCUGGGUCACUUCUGCCACUGUCCUCUUCUGAGUGCCAUUGGGCGCUAUGGCUGCUUUGUCAGGAUGUAGCUGCUCACAAAGGUUGGAGUUGGGUGGCAUGUAGAUACGUGGUGGGAAAAAGACUGGUUUCUGAUUAUGCUGUCUGUAAGGCAAAACUAAAUAAACAGUCAUUUUUACUUGUCA
rnacentral:lncRNA from 1 species